UCAGCUUGUUGGUGGGGUAAUGGCCUACCAAGGCUUCGACGGGUAGCCGGCCUGAGAGGGUGACCGGCCACACUGGGACUGAGACACGGCCCAGACUCCUACGGGAGGCAGCAGUGGGGAAUAUUGGACAAUGGGCGGAAGCCUGAUCCAGCAACGCCGCGUGAGGGAUGACGGCCUUCGGGUUGUAAACCUCUUUCAGUAGGGACGAAGCGCAAGUGACGGUACCUACAGAAGAAGCACCGGCCAACUACGUGCCAGCAGCCGCGGUAAUACGUAGGGUGCGAGCGUUGUCCGGAAUUAUUGGGCGUAAAGGGCUCGUAGGCGGUUUGUCGCGUCGGGAGUGAAAACCCAGGGCUUAACUCUGGGCUUGCUUUCGAUACGGGCAGACUAGAGGCAUGCAGGGGAGAACGGAAUUCCUGGUGUAGCGGUGAAAUGCGCAGAUAUCAGGAGGAACACCGGUGGCGAAGGCGGUUCUCUGGG
rnacentral:rRNA from 1 species